CAUCUUGUGGCUUAGUUGGUAGAGCAUUUGGCCAACAACGAAAAGGCUGUGUGUUCAAAUCCCAAGGAAAGCA